rnacentral:rRNA from 1 species
UACGAAGGGGGCUAGCGUUGCUCGGAAUCACUGGGCGGAAAGCGCACGUAGGCGGACUCUUAAGUCGGUGGUGAAAUCCUGGAGCUCAACUCCAGAACUGCCUUCGAUACUGGGAGUCUUGAGUCCGGGAGAGGUGAGUGGAACUGCGAGUGUAGAGGUGAAAUUCGUAGAUAUUCGCAAGAACACCAGUGGCGAAGGCGGCUCACUGGCCCGGUACUGACGCUGAGGUGCGAAAGCGUGGGGAGCAAACAGG